UGCUCAGUAACACGUGGACAACCUGCCCUGAGGUGGGGGAUAACUCCGGAAAACUGGAGAUAAUACCCCAUAGUCUAUGAAUGCUGGAAUGCUUUGUAGGCGAAAGGUCAGCCGCCUCAGGAUGGGUCUGCGGCCGAUUAGGUAGUUGUUGGGGUAACGGCCCAACAAGCCUGUGAUCGGUACGGGUUGUGGGAGCAAGAGCCCGGAGAUGGAUUCUGAGACACGAAUCCAGGCCCUACGGGGCGCAGCAGGCGCGAAAACUUUACAAUGCAGGAAACUGUGAUAAGGGAACCCCGAGUGCCUGUAUGGACAGGCUGUUCAGGUGCGUAAAAAACACCUGGAGAAAGGACCGGGCAAGACCGGUGCCAGCCGCCGCGGUAAUACCGGCGGUUCGAGUGGUGGCCACUAUUACUGGGCUUAAAGCGUCCGUAGCUGGGCAGUUAAGUCUCUGGGGAAAUCUUCCGGCUCAACCGGAAGGCGUCUCAGGGAUACUGGCUGCCUUGGGAUCGGGAGAGGUGAGAGGUACUCUGGGGGUAGGAGUGAAAUCCUGUUAUCCUUAGGGGACCACCUGUGGCGAAGGCGUCUCACCAGAACGACUCCGACAGUGAGGGACGAAAGCUGGGGGAGCAAACCGGAUUAGAWASCCGGGUAGUCCCAGCCGUAAACUAUGCGCGUUAGGUGUUUCGUGACCACGAGUUACCGAGGUGCCGARGGGAAACCGUGAAACGUGCCGCCCKGGAA
rnacentral:rRNA from 1 species